GUGCCAGACUCCUACGGGAGGCAGCAGUGGGGAAUAUUGCACAAUGGGGGAAACCCUGAUGCAGCGACGCCGCGUGAGUGAAGAAGUAUCUCGGUACGUAAAGCUCUAUCAGCAGGGAAGAUAAUGACGGUACCUGGACAAGAAGCCCCGGCUAACUACGUGCCAGCAGCCGCGGUAAUACGUAGGGGGCAAGCGUUAUCCGGAUUUACUGGGUGUAAAGGGAGCGCAGGCGGCGUGGCAAGUCAGAUGUAAAAACCCGGGGCCCAACCCCGGGAGUGCAUUUGAAACUGCCAUGCUGGAGUGCCGGAGAGGUAAGCGGAAUUCCUAGUGUAGCGGUGAAAUGCGUAGAUAUUAGGAGGAACACCAGUGGCGGAGGCGGCUUACUGGACGGUAACUGACGCUGAGGCUCGAAAGCGUGGGGAGCAAACAGGAUUAGAUACCCGAGUA
rnacentral:rRNA from 1 species